UACAGAGGAUGCAAGCGUUAUCCGGAAUGAUUGGGCGUAAAGCGUCUGUAGGUGGCCUUUUAAGUCCGCCGUCAAAUCCCAGGGCUCAACUCUGGACAGGCGGUGGAAACUACCAAGCUUGAGUACGGUAGGGGCAGAGGGAAUUUCCGGUGGAGCGGUGAAAUGCGCAGAUAUCAGGAGGAACACCAGCGGCGAAGGCGCCGCUCUGGGCCGUAACUGACGCUGAGGAGCGAAAGCAUGGGUAGCAAACAGG
rnacentral:rRNA from 1 species